AGAGAGAGUAUUUCAUUAUUGACUCCAACUAUAAAUAGGUUCAUAUACGAGGAUCAAUCUUUAAUAAUCAUCUUGACAGAAAAAAAAUGAGUUGUAAAGGUUUUGCGUUGUUUCUUUUUGUUGUUGUUGUUGCAACCGCAGCUUUUGCUGAGCAAUCUCAACAUGGUCACCAAGGUAUCACAAUUUGUAGCGCUUAAUUAUAUAUAUGUAGUGAGUGUGAUGUUGAUGUUGUAUGUGUAUAAUUAAUCCUAAAUGUUUUUAUUUACAUGGCAGCGAAAGAAGCCAACCAAGCUGCUGUGUUAGUUCCGAAACGUGGCUCAGUUUCUACUGGCCGUUCAGCAGGACAUGGUGGUCGACCACCACAUGGUGGCGGAGAAGCUAACCAAGCUGAGUUAGCCCCGAGACGUGGCUCAGUUUCUACUAGCCCUUCUAGUGGACAUUCUAGAGUGGUCGACCAGGCACCACAUGGUGGCGGAGAAGCCAACCAAGUGGUUAGCCCCGAGACGUGGCUCAGUUUCUACUGGCACUGGUCCCAGUACUGGACAUUCUAGUGGUGGUCGACGACCAGGACCACCACAUGGUGGAAUGCCAACCCACUGAACACACCAACAACUACUGGAAGGCCAUGCAUAUAUAUAUAUAUUUGGAUCUUCAUCUAUGUGUGUGUUGUUAUAUAUUCGAAAUAAAUAUUAAUGCAUGCUCAAUAAGUGUGGAAUGUGAUGAAGAGGCUAGGCUCUUCAUCUACAAACCACUCUACUUAAUCAGUGUUUAUGUGCAAUCGGAUCUUCCACCUUAUUAUGUGAAAUUGCUAUUUCACUUCACUCGUCUCACUUUGUUACUUACUUCACUAUCAUUCUUAUGGUUACUACAAUUGUGGAAUACUAGUAUAUAAAUAGGCACUGCAGUAGUUGUACAAGUAGAUAAAAUCACAGCAGACUUAACCAACUCCGGAAAUAAUUAUGUCUGCCCCAGCUUCGAAUAGCUACUGCUUUUGUUGUUGUGGAUGGGUUGCUGGCUACGAUUUUGUGGUGGCGCCGCUAAUGGACAGAGAGUAUGCGGCGGAGACCGCGGCAGUCUGAAGACAUCAUGUCUGUUAAUUGGGGAGGGGUGAUUUUACUAGUUCUCCUAUUUCAAUGAUUAACUAGUACACCCCACUCGUGUAAUGCACAGUGAGCAUCAAAAUUGCAUUAUGUUAAAUAAAUAAUAUAAAUAUUAAAUGAAUCAAA
rnacentral:lncRNA from 1 species